UACGGGGGGGGUAAGCGUUGUUCGGAAUUACUGGGCGUAAAGGGCUCGUAGGCGGCCAACUAAGUCAUACGUGAAAUCCCUCAGCUUAACUGGGGAACUGCGUGUGAUACUGGAUGGCUUGGAUUUGGGAGAGGGAUGCGGAAUUCCAGGUGUAGCGGUGAAAUGCGUAGAUAUCUGGAGGAACACCGGUGGCGAAGGCGGCAUCCUGGACCAAAACUGACACUGAGGAGCGAAAGCCAGGGGAGCAAACGGG
rnacentral:rRNA from 1 species